rnacentral:rRNA from 1 species
UACGUAGGGUGCGAGCGUUAAUCGGAAUUACUGGGCGUAAAGCGCGCGCAGGCGGUUCUUCAAGUCAGUGGUGAAAGCCCGGAGCUCAACUCCGGAACUGCCAUUGAAACUGUGGAACUUGAGGAUGAGAGAGGUGAGUGGAAUUCCCAGUGUAGAGGUGAAAUUCGUAGAUAUUGGGAAGAACACCGGUGGCGAAGGCGGCUCACUGGCUCAUUUCUGACGCUCAGGCGCGACAGCGUGGGGAUCAAACAGG